GCCGCAGUAUUUUAACUGUGCAAAGGUAGCAUGAUCAUUUGCCUUUUAAUUGGAGGCUUGUAUGAAUGGUCGGAUGAGAAAUUAACUUUCUUUAUUUUAUUUUAAAUAAUUUUAUUUAUUAGUUAAAAAGCUAAUAUGUUUUUAUUAGACGAGAAGACCCUAUAGAACUUUAUAUUUAUUUUUAUUAUUUAUUUUUAGUUUAUUUUUUUUAAUAUAAAUAUUUAUUUUGUUGGGGUGACAUAUAAAUUUAUUUAACUUUAUUUUAUUUUAUAUCAUUAAUGUAUGUUUUUUUGAUCCAUUUUUAUGAUUAUAAUUUUAAGUUACCUUAGGGAUAACAGCGUAAUUUUAUUGGAGAGUUCUUAUUUAUAAUAAAGUUUGCGACCUCGAUGUUGGAUUAAA
rnacentral:rRNA from 1 species